AGAGUUUGAUCAUGGCUCAGAACGAACGCCUGGCGGCAUGCCUAACUCAUGCAAGUCGAACGGGAUCCGAGCUUCGGUUCGGUGAGAGUGGCGGACGGGUGAGUAACGCGUGGGAACCUGCCCAGUGGUGGGGGAUAACUGCGGGAAACUGCAGCUAAUACCGCAUGAGCCCGAGAGGGGAAAGAUGGCGCAAGCUAUCGCCGAAAGAUGAGCCUGCGUCCCAUUAGUUAGUUGGUGGGGUAAUGGCUUACCAAGACAAUGAUGGGUACCUGGUCUGAGAGGAUGACCAGGCACACUGGAACUGAAACACGGUCCAGACUCCUACGGGAGGCAGCAGUAGGGAAUAUUGCGCAAUGGACGAAAGUCUGACGCAGCCACGCCGCGUGAGUGAGGAAGGCCUUCGGGUUGUAAAGCUCUUUUACCAGGGAUGAUAAUGACAGUACCUGGAGAAUAAGCUCCGGCUAACUCCGUG
rnacentral:rRNA from 1 species